UACGGAGGGGGCAAGCGUUGUUCGGAAUUACUGGGCGUAAAGGGCGCGCAGGCGGCUGCUCAAGUCAGGCGUGAAAGGCCUGGGCUCAACCCGGGAAUUGCGCUUGAGACUGGGCUGGCUUGAGUGCGGGAGAGGAUGGUGGAAUUCCCGGUGUAGCGGUGGAAUGCGUAGAGAUCGGGAAGAACACCUGCGGCGAAGGCGGGUUGCUGGGCUGACACUGACGCUGAUGCGCGAAAGCCAGGGGAGCGAACGGG
rnacentral:rRNA from 1 species